rnacentral:rRNA from 1 species
UGGGGAAUAUUGCACAAUGGGCGCAAGCCUGAUGCAGCCAUGCCGCGUGUGUGAAGAAGGCCUUCGGGUUGUAAAGCACUUUCAGCGAGGAGGAAGGGUAGUGUGUUAAUAGCACAUUGCAUUGACGUUACUCGCAGAAGAAGCACCGGCUAACUCCGUGCCAGCAGCCGCGGUAAUAAGGAGGGCGCAAGCGUUAAUAGGAAGUACUGGGCGUAAAGCGCACGCAGGCGGUUUGUUAAGUCAGAUGUGAAAUCCCCGCGCUUAACGUGGGAACUGCAUUUGAAACUGGCAAGCUAGAGUCUUGUAGAGGGGGGUAGAAUUCCAGGUGUAGCGGUGAAAUGCGUAGAGAUCUGGAGGAAUACCGGUGGCGAAGGCGGCCCCCUGGACAAAGACUGACGCUCAGGUGCGAAAGCGUGGGGAGCAAACA